AUAUCUCCUCAUUUUCUCUCCUGCACGUCUCGAGAGAGAGCCGCCGCCGCCAACCAUCCUCCCCGUCCGCCGCUGCCGCCAACCAUCUGCAGCCGCACCAUCAUCCCCUCCCUGUUUCUCUCCUGUGGCUGAGCCAGCCAUGGCAAGGAAGAAGCACAAGUCCUCUUCCUUCCUCACUCACCCCCGAUAUGAAUCCUCAGCCAGCCGCACGCAUCCCAUAUGGUGCCGCCCAGCUCGCCGCCCUCGGCCGCCGAGCCAUCGCGGGGCUCCUCGCGCAAGCGCACGACCUCCUCCAAGGUCGCGCCCGAGGCCGACCUGGAGUUCACGGUCACCAAAGAAAGGUAAGGUAAGGGGAGGGGAGGGGAGGAGAGGGAUCGAGCAACAAGGUGAGGCAGCGCCCAGAUCCACAGGUCCACGACCGUCCUCGAGGUCGGCCAUGGAGGUCCGGUCCGGCCCGACAGCAGCCAUGGAAGGAGACACCCGAAUCCGUAGCUCUCCAAGGACGCGCUAGCUGCAGGCCAUCUCCGGCGAGCUCGUCCACGGAUCUCCAACUAUGGUGCGUGCACAUGAUCCCUGAACCCCUUGUCUGGCCGGUUUCUUCAUCUCCCCUCCUUGUGAUUCCUUGGUUUGUUCUGUGUGAAGUUGCUCCGAUCUGGAAGAGGUGGUGGAGUUGUUGUUGUUGCUGCUACAGGUGGACGAGGCACGAGCCCUCAUGGCUCCUCCCUCCUCCUCCCCCCAUGACGUGAAGGCAUGACACCGCCAUCAUGCGUCAGGUUUAGGUAGAGGGCACGUCACCGCCACGCUCUCCUCCACAACAACGCCACGCACCCGGUUGCUCCGAUGAGGACAAGCUGCUUCUGCAGGUGGAAUGGCCCUCAUGGCUGCUCUACCUAUUCCUUCUGCUACCCCCACACGUGCGAACAUCAAAGCCGUCGAUGCACUAAGGGCUCAAUGUCGUGUCCGCCGGCUGAGCGGCAAGCUGGGGUUGGGCCUGCACACUGCCUAUCAGCACCCCCCAUCUCCAUUCACGGAUCUGCAGGUUAUAUGGUUCAAUAGCCACCGACCAUAGAAGCGCGGGUCAUGGCUCACGCCACUGUUUCGUCAGGGUCACCAUCGCGUGGCCGUCGUCCUCGCGCUGUGAGCGCGCUCAGGUGUUUACUACGCAGGGAGGAGCUGGGCGACAAGGCAGUCAGACCAAACUUUCUCUAUCCAUAUAUAUGUAGUCUGAUGUUAUGCCAUAGCCGAACCAUAUAAGUUUCGUGUAUUGCUCUA